UUGAACGCUGGCGGCAGGCCUAACACAUGCAAGUCGAGCGGUAACACAGAGAGCUUGCUCUCGGGUGACGAGCGGCGGACGGGUGAGUAAUGUCUGGGAAACUGCCUGAUGGAGGGGGAUAACUACUGGAAACGGUAGCUAAUACCGCAUAACGUCGCAAGACCAAAGUGGGGGACCUUCGGGCCUCAUGCCAUCAGAUGUGCCCAGAUGGGAUUAGCUAGUAGGUGGGGUAACGGCUCACCUAGGCGACGAUCCCUAGCUGGUCUGAGAGGAUGACCAGCCACACUGGAACUGAGACACGGUCCAGACUCCUACGGGAGGCAGCAGUGGGGAAUAUUGCACAAUGGGCGCAAGCCUGAUGCAGCCAUGCCGCGUGUGUGAAGAAGGCCUUCGGGUUGUAAAGCACUUUCAGCGGGGAGGAAGGCGGUGAGGUUAAUAACCUCAUCGAUUGACGUUACCCGCAGAAGAAGCACCGGCUAACUCCGUGCCAGCAGCCGCGGUAAUACGGAGGGUGCAAGCGUUAAUCGGAAUUACUGGGCGUAAAGCGCACGCAGGCGGUCUGUCAAGUCGGAUGUGAAAUCCCCGGGCUCAACCUGGGAACUGCAUUCGAAACUGGCAGGCUAGAGUCUUGUAGAGGGGGGUAGAAUUCCAGGUGUAGCGGUGAAAUGCGUAGAGAUCUGGAGGAAUACCGGUGGCGAAGGCGGCCCCCUGGACAAAGACUGACGCUCAGGUGCGAAAGCGUGGGGAGCAAACAGGAUUAGAUACCCUGGUAGUCCACGCCGUAAACGAUGUCGAUUUGGAGGUUGUGCCCUUGAGGCGUGGCUUCCGGAGCUAACGCGUUAAAUCGACCGCCUGGGGAGUACGGCCGCAAGGUUAAAACUCAAAUGAAUUGACGGGGGCCCGCACAAGCGGUGGAGCAUGUGUUUUAAUUCGAUGCAACGCGAAGAACCUUACCUGGUCUUGACAUCCACAGAACUUUCCAGAGAUGGAUUGGUGCCUUCGGGAACUGUGAGACAGGUGCUGCAUGGCUGUCGUCAGCUCGUGUUGUGAAAUGUUGGGUUAAGUCCCGCAACGAGCGCAACCCUUAUCCUUUGUUGCCAGCGGUUAGGCCGGGAACUCAAAGGAGACUGCCAGUGAUAAACUGGAGGAAGGUGGGGAUGACGUCAAGUCAUCAUGGCCCUUACGACCAGGGCUACACACGUGCUACAAUGGCAUAUACAAAGAGAAGCGACCUCGCGAGAGCAAGCGGACCUCAUAAAGUAUGUCGUAGUCCGGAUUGGAGUCUGCAACUCGACUCCAUGAAGUCGGAAUCGCUAGUAAUCGUAGAUCAGAAUGCUACGGUGAAUACGUUCCCGGGCCUUGUACACACCGCCCGUCACACCAUGGGAGUGGGUUGCAAAAGAAGUAGGUAGCUUAACCUUCGGGAGGGCGCUUACCACUUUGUGAUUCAUGACUGGGGUG
rnacentral:rRNA from 1 species